GGGAAAUAGAUCAACACACUAGACAGUGUGAUUUGAUUAUGAUUCCAGAACUGAAGAGGGUAGAAGAGAGGGAGGGUAUGGAUGCUACAGUAAAGGCUGAUGGCAAGAUUGUUGAGAAGAUACCUGGGGAGGAGGGAGUGGAGUAAAACAGGCCUUGGAACAGUGGACCAGCAUCCCCCUUACCUCUCCAUCUUCUCUUCUUUGGGCAAAACAUUCCCAGUUACUUCAACUGAUCCUCAUUCGAUGUGAAAUUGGAGUCCUUUGAGUCAUUUCCUGAUAUAGCCCCAUCCACCCCAUCCAUUGAACUCUUCUUCAUAACAACAACAACAACAAGAAACAAUUAACCAAAAUGUACCCCACCUGGAGAGUAGCCGUGUACGUGACAUGCUGCACCUGCAGUUCCCUGUCACUUUAUCUGACCAAGAAGAAGAAAGUGUGUUUCACGAUCUAUUCCAUAGGACCAAGAUUGGUCACUACUCAUUGAGCAGAUCGGUCUCACUCAGCUGGCCCCAGAAUGGCAGAACCAGUUUAUCAGGAAGCACAAACUUUUCGGUAGUUCAUCACGAUGGAAACUAGCCUGGCACUCAGAGUUUGGAGAAACGGAGAAAUAACACUGACACGGGGGAAAACAAACAAACAAACAGAACCAAAAAACAGCCAAACCAAUUUCAAACUAUGAAACCUCUUGGAUCUUUGGGCUUUCUUUUACCCCUCAAUACCCAUAUACACUUACUGGUCUUUCCCAGCUA